rnacentral:lncRNA from 1 species
CGGAAAUAAAUUCUUUAUUGCAAAAUGAUUACAUGUUACAAUAAGUUUACAUUAUACAAUUAUCGGAGUGAUUACAAAAGAAAGUGAUUCAAAAGAAUUACAAUUUAAAAUGUAUAAAAUAUUUAUAGGUUUUAAAAUACAUGCUAGCUUAAGUGACAAUCCUCAAUAAAGAAGCUAAAGAUGGGAUAUACUUAUAUAAGAAGGCCGAACCCACCGGCACUUAGCACCAUCCACAACAGAACAAAAUUACAACCUGAAAAACAACAGGGAAUAAAACCCUGAGUACGCAAUUACUCAGCAAGACUUACCCGACUAAAGAAAAGACUCUCAAGGAUAUGUUGGUUUAUCAGGAAUCAAGGUAAAGCUUAUCAAAUUUCAAAGACUCAUUUUCGCAGAAAAGCUUACUAGUAGUGGAUCCUUAUGCAAAAAUUUUACUUCACAAAUUAAGUACUUUUCCUGAAUCUAGAUUUGCCUAAUCUAGAGCAUUCACUUGUCCUACACUAGCUUCAUUUUAGCAGCUUUAGUUUCACUUGUUAUCUACGAUGAGGGUCGAAGAUCCAGUCUUCAUAUCCGAGAAGUUCGGCGAUCCGAAUCGAUUAAUACCCAGCUGGGGAUCUCCAACCACACGACAUAUGUAGCACUUAACCCUUGCAUAUGUCAACUCGCCACCGGGUUUCUCAAGACCAGAACGGGUCCCCGCCAACCGAGAGCUCAGUACCCCACCAUCCAGCCUCUUGCCAGGUGGAUACACGAUACUCUCGCCAUCUCUCCACUCCCAUUGCGGGCUGGCCUUUCUGGUAUUGGUCCAGCCGAGGCUAAGCUUACCCAUGAUGAGGCAUGUGGCCAGUUAAAGGGUCCUAGAUCAGCAGGCCAACAAUCGGAACGGUCCUUAAUCGACGCAGACGGGCGACCUUUCCUGCUCAACGUCUGGUCUCAUAUUAAAAUAAUUCUGAAAACCUGGUACCUGUCAGAGGUACCCUACUGAAAUGAUGAAGUCAUCAAGGCCUUUGAUACCUUCAUCAUUCCAGCCCCUUUUUCCUUGUAAAAACAUGAUUCAUACAUCAAAAUAUUUUGUUCCUUGUCUAUAAGCAGGCUAAGCAUAUCUAGCUUUUCAAAUCAGGUAUCAAGGAUGAUAAUCAAUAAUUCAAGGAAGUUAUGCAACAAAGGUUUAACCAUUCAACUCCUAAACUACUGAACCUAUGGUCAUGAAAUUUUUACACAAGCAAGGUAAAAAGAUUAUCUACAAGUUUUAUAUAUAAUACUUCUACAGAAAACACGGUUUACUUUACUUAACUAGCCACGUAAUAAAAUUGGACAUGCAGUCCAAACAGCAAGAACUCUAACUUAGAUCUUAUUUAACUUCUACACUUAUCAUGCUUUUAACAUUUAGAACACUCAACACUUUAUCUUUAGUAGAACUAAAACCACAUAAUACAACAAGGCAUUCAUGUCACCAUACAUUAGAAAUUCACUCAACCACUAAUAAAUCUUAUCGGCAAAGCGCUAUAAGUACUAAACGUUGUUUUUACAUUAUUAACUUGAUCACUCAAUUCAUAUACAAUAACCAAAUCAUCUAUACUUGAGAAAUAUCUUUACCAAAAUACUCUAGGCAUAAUCCACCUACAAACACCAUGCAUAUCUCUAAUUAGUUUCAUAAUACAAGACAUACAUACUCAUGAAAAUAAUUUCAUUCACACAACACAAAUCAAUUUAAUAGCACAAGCCUUAUAUAUCCACACAACUAAUCAUUCAUCCGACUAACGAAAACAAUGGAUCGACUUACCAUGACUAAACUCGACUCGACUCCGCGAGAUCGACAACCAUAUCCGGUUGAGGCGAUUCACCAAGCACUUGGCAAGCGCCUCGCUAAAGCUUUCUUCUCAUCUAAAUUUCCUAGGAUUUACCUCCACCACAAACACAAACAUAUACAGUAAAUAAUCAAAUAUAGGAAUUGGUGGGGAAUAAACAGAACACAAGCAGUUGGUCUCACCUGGGCUACAGAGAUCUGGCAUGUUGCUGCUGCGCCUAGUAUUAAUCAGGGAAAGGAGAGGAGCGACCAUGGAGAAGACUGGAGCAAGGAGGGAGCUCGGCGUGGUCCGAUGGAGGUGGAAGACAGCCAGUGCGCGCCACAACAGAGAAGAUCGACGAGUAGAGAGGGCGAAAUCCAGGGAGGGGCGGCAGCCAGAGGAUGAAGGCGAGGGGAGAUAGGAAACGGGUGGCUCGACAGCGUCCAUGGCUGGGGCAGGGCGAGCUGGGGUUGGGCGACCAUGGGACUUGUGCUUGGGGAAGGAGAUGGGAGAGGGGCUAUCCAUGGCAACAAGAGAGGGGGCUGGCGUCCACACCAUGUGAAGGAGCAGGGAGGGCGCCAUGGGAGAGACGCCGAGGGAGCAGGGAUGACCGGCGAGGCUCUGUAGGAUCGCCGCCUAGGGAGGAGGCGACGUGAAGGAGCUGGCUUCCUAUGCGCAGGGGAUGAGGGAGAGAGCACGGGUGAAGAAACUAGAAGCCUCUGUCUUGCAUACACGGAUAAGAAGGAACGAUAGUGGCCAAGUGAGAAAAAAAUGUGAAUUCUCCUCUCUUAAAAACAGAAACGUAAUUGUUUUCUUAUUAGGAUUUGGAUAAGAGGAUGAGAUCGGCACCAUGAAUAGUGGCUUCGCGAAGGGGUAAGUCAGAGGGUUUAGGCGGUGGAAGGGAGAAAAGAAAUUCAGAUUUUUUGCUCUUUUCUCCAAUUCUUGUUACAAAAGACUAAACAGAUAAUUUAGUUCUCAGAUUAAGUUUGCGCGUGAUGUAAACCAGACGAAACAAAAGAUACCCGUCAAACUAGUACAGACUGCGCUUGAUCAAAUUUUAGAGCAGAUAAUUUUAUCCGUAGUCUGAGCAGGGAAACAGAUUAAUUAUGAAUACUCAGUUCGGUUCUAGUUAUCUCGGUCCGAUUUAAUUUUUGCAUCAAUAUUGUUGUCGUCGAGUUCUAAUAAUAUUUGUUUAGGACGACAAUCACCAGAGUAGGUCGGGGCUCCAAAUUCAUGUUCCCUUAAUCCAUAAUUUUAAAUAGACCUCAGACUUGAUAUUUCGCGAAAUAAAUACGCGAGAUCGAUACAACAUCGAAAUUUGUGAUCCAUUCGGAAGUGACGCCACGCAACGUUCGCGUGGGCGAGAGGUUGUGCUCUGUCCGGAUACCGGUUAGCACCUGCCACGCGCUACGAUGGCAGGCCACAGAGAGACACGUGCAACGCAAGCGUGAAAGAAUUUUAAACGAAGUUUAAAGAACCAGAUUUGAUUUCAAAGAUUGUAGUUUGGGCAAGACGUCGAGGGCUCAGCCCAAACGAUAUUGGAUUCGAUGUUCCGAAGAUUACCAAAGGCUGAAUUUUAAAAGAAAUAGAUUUGGAAAAAUUUAGACAGAUGGAGGCAGACACGAUAUCAAAAUCGUGAUAAACGAGGUUGAUUAAAAAUUAGUGACCUUUACAUUCAUAGCUAUCACGUGUUAACGUCCGCACUAAUGGUCGAGCAGACGAUAAACACCUGGGGUGUUACAGCCCUCCCCCCUUAAAAGAAUCUCGUCCCGAGAUUCGGAGCGAAAGACUUUUAAGAGUAGAGCAGCAUGUAACCCUUGUCCAUAUCAGCGAUAACAAAGGCAGUUCCAAGCAAAGGCGAGUGUCUUAGAAUGUGGUUUCUCUAGCGGACAUAGCAUGUAUCGCCUUAGGCUAAUUUAGAAUGUCCACCAAUAGAGACAAUGUCUACCAGAAGAACACAUAAGGUUCUGUGUGUGCAGUUUGCUUUUUCUGAUGACACUGUACUAUCUGAGUCUGUUGGGCGAGUGGCAAUUACACGAUUUUACCCAAAUAGAAUCAGAUGCAACCUCUUGGGUAAAUCACACAGAAAGAGGUUUACCAACAAGGGGUCACGGUAAGCCCGUAGCACAUGAGACGGGUGUGGAUGUCGAAUACUGUCGCGGUUAACAUGUGGCUAACCCGAGAAUUCAAGUCCACAAACGAUAGUAGAGACUUGAGAAAAUAUCAAUGAAAAGAUCCAUUGAUGCUGACUUCGCAACCAACCCAUUUCAUCAAAUACUUAGCACGGCUCGACAUGAUCACACAUGUUAGAAAAUCACAUGUGAUACGAUCGAGGCAUGACUAGAACGAUAAUUAGGUGAUUAUUAGUCGAUUUUAACCUGAUCUUUGUAAGAACUUUCUUAGGAUGGGUUGAACCAAAGUGAGUUUAGAUAACUCGACAAAACGAUCUCUAAACUCAACCUUUGUUCACAAUACAGUUACAAAUUAGUAAAACCAACUUGUUGAACUACCUUUGACAUUGAGCAAGUCCUCUUAUUACCCAUCGGCAAGUCAAGGGUUGAGGGUUCACAUUUGCUAGCAGGAGGUCAAAUACUUGAAUAGAGAUCCAUUCCACCAUGUUGUUCAUUUAUCUCCUUUAUGACAAACCAACAGGGUUGAAAAUGCAUGGGUCAACAAAGGAGCGAAUGAACAAACUCCUGCAUCUUAGCAACAUAGGAAAGAAAUCUCGAUUUGAGAACUAAUCAGGUGUCUCUCAACACUAAAAAGCUCCAAGACUUCACCUUUACAACAAAGGAUGCAAAGGGAACUUGUAGGUGUACAAUCACCACCAAAGCCAACAGAAAAGAUACCAUACAUGAAUGGGGUGAUUUUACCACACAACUAGAUACAGAUAGGUUUCGAUUUUCGAUGAAGACUUCUGAACUGGUAAGAACUUCACCUAAGGAAUACAUCAGAGUUAUAUACUCUUUUGAUCUAAAAGUGAUGGCAUAUGUUGUUUGAUUGUUUCAGCAAACAACACAAAAAUCGUUUCAAGGGAGGAGUCCACGGAAGAUCACACAUCAGUGUAGUUCCACAAUGGAUCAUGACCAAAGACCUCGAUACCAGAAUGCGCCAAGCAGCAUAACCUUGCGUGUACAUUCACAAGGGGAUCUCAGUUUCGCGGCGGCACCAAAAAUCAUUAAUCGUGACACCAUUACCGAACAUCACCAAUAAAGAAUCUCACAUAGCGUAAAAAGAUUGUGCCAAGAUAACACAUUGAUAUAGUCUCAUAAUGGAUUACAACUACUAACCAUGAUACCAGCGCGUGCCGAGCAGCACAACCAUGUGUGUACAUUCACAGGAGGCCCUCGGUUUCGUCGCAGCACCAUCGGUUUUAGUCAUAACACCAUUACCAGCUGUAACCAAUAAGAAAUCUCAUGCAGUACAAAUGGAUUGAGCAAGGGUGACAAUAUACAAUGAGACUCCACCUGUAAGAAUAAUUACAAGUAGAGCCAAAUAGAUCAUGGCCCGAUGAAAUGAACAAGACAUGGCCAUAACCUAAACUUGAUGAAAGGAGUACGACGGGAGACUGUUAUUUCAGCCCCAAGCAUAUUUCUAUGCCCAUCGCAGAGAUUACAAGGUUAAGGAUUAGUAUCUGAUUAGAUACGGAGGGAAAACAAUCAUAAGAUUAAGUUGGUAUGCCUUUGAAAGAUAUGAGAAAACCAAAGGCAUUAAAUUCAAGAAAACUAUUGGGCAUUCCUUUCCUAGGUUAGAUUGAAAAAGCAACAAUGUGAUUCUCAUGGAGAGGCAAAGCAGAAUAGAACCAUCAGCUUGCACCAACCGAAACAAGGCGAAGCUUAGGAAGAAAACAUGACCACUGUGAGUCAUGGAUUAAGCGACAAGAACACGGACUUGAGAUCUUUGUCUUAAGAUUGAGUGCACCUUUUGUCCAACAGGGAGACUACUGGCCAAAUUAAAGAAACCUACAAUCUAUACAGGUACAUACCUCUAAUCGUCCAACACACGAAGACGAGAAAUUCCAUACACCCGCACAUGACUUUUAAUUUGAACUUAGUGUCUUUCCAUAAGAAAAAAGAAAACAAACAACAACUCAUGUAGUUUAAUGGCCAAAGGAUUAGACAAUCACCAUACCUUCUACUCAACCAAGCGAGAGAAACACAUAUACUACCUAACGAGGUGUCUAAAGGAUAGAGGACAAGGAACUCGUUGAAGUUCAUAGGAUAGCGAUACUUCACAUAGUUUCCAAUUAUUUAUUAUCGGAAUAAAGAUGAGAAAAGCAUGUUCGUUCACAAUCACUAAUUAUUAGAAUAAAGAUGAGAGAAGCAUAUUUGUGCACAAACGACAAACACAAUGCAAAAAUCAGGAUGCAUGCUCGUCCUAUUCGUCCACACUGAUUUUGCCAACAUAAUGUGGCAAUAGCGUUCUAUAUCGGUGGCAUACCUACGUUCUCUCUCGAUAUAUUGCUAGUCGUCAGCUACACAUACGAGUUCGAAGUUAGUGUACCUGCAGAAAAUUUCAUCACAGCCCAGUUCCCAAUGAUGCAAUUCACACAUGACAGUUUAUCACAGUUUAUACUCCAUAUAUUUCUAUAUGGAGGCCAGCUCCUCAUUAAGCGCCGAGCCACGCAUAGGCGUCGCUGCCACACUUUAACCAUAGGGCAGCUCAUUAUGGUAACUCACCUUCUUACCUGAGCGUAGGUGCGUCGUUGCAAAUACAUUACACUUCUCAGUAUUCCCAUGUCUGUAUACCCAUAGACAUCCAUGGGGUACUGAAUCCCGGAAAAGUAAUUACUCCACAUCGCAGCCUUCAUAUAUACAUAUGUGUAACAUGUAUAUAAUCAAGCGCCACAAUUAAGCACUCCCCUAGACCGGCAUUUGUUCGGUCAUGCUCUCACAACUCACGUUACCUGAGCGUCGAUCCAUUCAAAACUGAAUGGCCUCAAGAAUAACAAUACACAUGUAUGCAAUACCCUUCCCUGGUUGUGGGUUAGUAUUCUCAACUAAGCCACCUAGUAGUCCUUAACUUAGGGCUUAACAGAGGAUGUCGCUAGCAUUAUAGUUUUUUUAAAUCUGUUUUUCAAAAUCAAACAAUGUGUUUAGUUGAAAAUAGGUUUUUGAAACCAAAACUUUGUUUUAAAAAUACGUAUGUGACCGUAUUAUACUUAAUACAGCUCCGAUACCAGCUGUCGCAGAACCUCCCAAGUUAUCGGGCCCACAUGCACUUGUCCUUGUCUCAACGACCUCAGACGGGUAUGCAUGUGCACCAAACAACUUAACAGGAUCUGUCCGAGUGCCCCAAGGACCCCGGAUAAACGACUUACCGCCAAGAUCGCAGGAUUAAGUAAACACAAAUCACACACCAACAUUUGCAGCGGAAAUAAAUUCUUUAUUGCAAAAUGAUUACAUGUUACAAUAAGUUUACAUUAUACAAUUAUCGGAGUGAUUACAAAAGAAAGUGAUUCAAAAGAAUUACAAUUUAAAAUGUAUAAAAUAUUUAUAGGUUUUAAAAUACAUGCUAGCUUAAGUGACAAUCCUCAAUAAAGAAGCUAAAGAUGGGAUAUACUUAUAUAAGAAGGCCGAACCCACCGGCACUUAGCACCAUCCACAACAGAACAAAAUUACAACCUGAAAAACAACAGGGAAUAAAACCCUG